GUCCCUUCAGGUACAUUCGAUAAAAUUGCAACGAUACAGAGAAGAUUAGCAUGGCCCUUGCAAGGAUGACACACAAACAAACCCAAUGCACGAUUCUAAU